ACGCUCGACACCUCGGAGGCAGCAGUGGGGAAUAUUGCACAAUGGAGGAAACUCUGAUGCAGCGAUGCCGCGUGAGGGAAGAAGGUUUUCGGAUUGUAAACCUCUGUCUUUGGGGACGAUAAUGACGGUACCCAAGGAGGAAGCUCCGGCUAACUACGUGCAGCAGCCGCGGUAAUCUGAGCGGGCUGGCAAGGC
rnacentral:rRNA from 1 species